GAUGAACGCUGGCGGCGUGCCUAAUACAUGCGAGUCGAGCGAACGGACGAGAAGCUUGCUUCUCUGAUGUUAGCGGCGGACGGGUGAGUAACACGUGGAUAACCUACCUAUAAGACUGGGAUAACUUCGGGAAACCGGAGCUAAUACCGGAUAAUAUUUUGAACCGCAUGGUUCAAAAGUGAAAGACGGUCUUGCUGUCACUUAUAGAUGGAUCCGCGCUGCAUUAGCUAGUUGGUAAGGUAACGGCUUACCAAGGCAACGAUGCAUAGCCGACCUGAGAGGGUGAUCGGCCACACUGGAACUGAGACACGGUCAAGACUCCUACGGGAGGCAGCAGUAGGGAAUCUUCCGCAAUGGGCGAAAGCCUGACGGAGCAACGCCGCGUGAGUGAUGAAGGUCUUCGGAUCGUAAAACUCUGUUAUUAGGGAAGAACAUAUGUGUAAGUAACUGUGCACAUCUUGACGGUACCUAAUCAGAAAGCCACGGCUAACUACGUG
rnacentral:rRNA from 1 species